rnacentral:misc_RNA from 1 species
UCUCCCGUGAGGGAGCAGUCUCGCCAGACACUUGUAACUGGCAACGGGGGUUGCGUUCGUUUCACCACUGAAGGUUACAACUCAUGCCACGAACUGACGACGGCCAUGCAUCACCUGCCAUACAGUCCGAAGAGGGCUCUUCUUUCAAAAAGCUUUCAGUAUGGUUUCUAACCCUGGUAAGGUUCUUCGUUUGACAUCGAAUUAAGCCACAUCAUCCACCGCUUGUGCAAGCCCCCGUCUAUUCCUUUGAGUUUUAAUCUUGCGAUCGUACUACCCAGGCGCCGAACUUAACGCGUUAGCUUCGCCUCUCAGAGGGUCGAUACUCCAAAAAGCCAGUUCGGAACGUUUAAGGCGUGGACUA